UGGUCAAACCCGGUCAUUUAGAGGAAGUAAAAGUCGUAACAAGGUUUCCGUAGGUGAACCUGCGGAAGGAUCAUUACCGAGUGAGGGUUUCUCUGAAGCCCAACCUCCCACCCGUGUAUACCGUACCCUGUUGCUUCGGCGGGCCCGCCUCACGGCCGCCGGGGGACCUCGCGUCCCCGGGCCCGCGCCCGCCGAAGACCCCAACACGAACACUGUCUGAAAAGUGCAGUCUGAGUCGAUUGUUACCAAUCAGUCAAAACUUUCAACAAUGGAUCUCUUGGUUCCGGCAUCGAUGAAGAACGCAGCGAAAUGCGAUAACUAAUGUGAAUUGCAGAAUUCAGUGAAUCAUCGAGUCUUUGAACGCACAUUGCGCCCCCUGGUAUUCCGGGGGGCAUGCCUGUCCGAGCGUCAUUGCUGCCCUCAAGCACGGCUUGUGUGUUGGGCCCCGUCCCCGGUACCCCCGGGGACGGGCCCGAAAGGCAGCGGCGGCACCGCGUCCGGUCCUCGAGCGUAUGGGGCUUUGUCACCCGCUCUGCAGGCCCGGCCGGCGCCAGCCGACCAACCCAACCAUUUUUUACAGGUUGACCUCGGAUCAGGUAGGGAUACCCGCUGAACUUAAGCAUAUCAAUAAGCGGAGGAAAAGAAACCAACCGGGAUUGCCUCAGUAACGGCGAGUGAAGCGGCAAGAGCUCAAAUUUGAAAGCUGGCUCCUUCGGGGUCCGCAUUGUAAUUUGCAGAGGAUGCUUCGGGUGCGGCCCCUGUCUAAGUGCCCUGGAACGGGCUGUCAGAGAGGGUGAGAAUCCCGUCUGG
rnacentral:ncRNA from 1 species